GAUGAACGCUGGCGGCGUGCCUAAUACAUGCAAGUCGAGCGAACGGACGAGAAGCUUGCUUCUCUGAUGUUAGCGGCGGACGGGUGAGUAACACGUGGAUAACCUACCUAUAAGACUGGGAUAACUUCGGGAAACCGGAGCUAAUACCGGAUAAUAUUUUGAACCGCAUGGUUCAAAAGUGAAAGACGGUCUUGCUGUCACUUAUAGAUGGAUCCGCGCUGCAUUAGCUAGUUGGUAAGGUAACGGCUUACCAAGGCAACGAUGCAUAGCCGACCUGAGAGGGUGAUCGGCCACACGGGAACUGAGACACGGUCCAGACGCCUACGGGAGGCAGCAGUAGGGAAUCUUCCGCAAUGGGCGAAAGCCUGACGGAGCAACGCCGCGUGAGUGAUGAAGGUCUUCGGAUCGUAAAACUCUGUUAUUAGGGAAGAACAUAUGUGUAAGUAACUGUGCACAUCUUGACGGUACCUAAUCAGAAAGCCACGGCUAACUACGUG
rnacentral:rRNA from 1 species